rnacentral:Y_RNA from 1 species
GGCUGGUCCGAGCGCAGUGGUGUUUACAACUAGCUGAUCACAACUGUUACUGAUGUUAUUGUGCUUUCUCCACUCCCACUACUUUACUUGCCUUUA